UUCCGGUUGAUCCUGCCGGAGGCCAUUGCUAUCGGAGUCCGAUUUAGCCAUGCUAGUUGCACGAGUUUAGACUCGUAGCAUAUAGCUCAGUAACACGUGGCCAAACUACCCUACAGACCGCGAUAACCUCGGGAAACUGAGGCCAAUAGCGGAUGCCACUCUCAUGCUGGAGUGCCGAGAGUGAGAAACGUUCCGGCGCUGUAGGAUGUGGCUGCGGCCGAUUAGGUGGAUGGUGGGGUAACGGCCCACCAUGCCGAUAAUCGGUACAGGUUGUGAGAGCAAGAGCCUGGAGACGGUAUCUGAGACAAGAUACCGGGCCCUACGGGGCGCAGCAGGCGCGAAACCUUUACACUGCACGACAGUGCGAUAGGGGGACUCCGAGUGUGAGGGCAUAUAGCCCUCGCUUUUCUGUACCGUAAGGUGGUACAGGAACAAGGACUGGGCAAGACCGGUGCCAGCCGCCGCGGUAAUACCGGCAGUCCGAGUGAUGGCCGAUAUUAUUGGGCCUAAAGCGUCCGUAGCUUGCUGUGUAAGUCCAUUGGGAAAUCGACCAGCUCAACUGGUCGGCGUCCGGUGGAAACUACACAGCUUGGGGCCGAGAGACUCAACGGGUACGUCCGGGGUAGGAGUGAAAUCCUGUAAUCCUGGACGGACCACCAAUGGGGAAACCAC
rnacentral:rRNA from 1 species